GACGAACGCUGGCGGCGUGCUUAACACAUGCAAGUCGUACGGUAAGGCCCUUUCGGGGGUACACGAGUGGCGAACGGGUGAGUAACACGUGAGUAACCUGCCCACAACUUUGGGAUAACGCUAGGAAACUGGUGCUAAUACUGGAUAUGUGCUCCUGCUGCAUGGUGGGGGUUGGAAAGCUCCGGCGGUUGUGGAUGGACUGGCGGCCUAUCAGCUUGUUGGUGGGGUAGUGGCCUACCAAGGCGGCGACGGGUAGCCGGCCUGAGGGGGUGACCGGCCACAUUGGGACUGAGAUACGGCACAGACUCCUACGGGAGGAAGCAGUGGGGAAUAUUGCACAAUGAGCGCAGGCCGGAUGCAGAAACGCCGCGGGCGGGAUGACGGCCUUCGGGUUGUAAACCGCUUUCAGCAGGAACGAAGCUUUUUGUGACGGUACCUGCAGAAGAAGCACCGGCUAACUACGUG
rnacentral:rRNA from 1 species